AUGAUUUUAGGUGGGAAGUUCAUGUGAUUGCAGUUAAUCCAGCCAUCCAGAAAAUCAUAAGAAAAGAUUCCAUCGUAUUUCUUUACCAUAUUCUUCUUCCUCUGAGCUCCAUCAAACGUUAUCCUCUCCAUCGUUGGAAUCCGUCUUGGAAUAUGCCAUGCAAUUGCACUCUCAUGCUUCAUAGGUUUUUAUUGGUUUUCCCUAAUGCGCAGUCAUUCGUGAUGGUCUGCGGCUUUUGACCCACUUCCCUUCAUGGCCUACUUAACUAUUUUCCUUUCUUGGCCUAGCUGAACCACAGUUUAAAUCCAACUUGCUUCUUGUCUUUGGGCUCUUCAAGCUGAGGCCCGUACGAGCCCCCCCACACAAUCAAGAUGACAUCCCUUAAUUGCAUUUUGACGAGUUUUGAAUUUCACCGG
rnacentral:lncRNA from 1 species